rnacentral:rRNA from 1 species
GACGAACCACCCAAACGUUAUUCGGAAUUACUGGGCUUAAAGAGUGUGUAGGCGGUGCUCUAAGUUCGGUGUGAAAUCUCCUGGCUCAACUGGGAGGGUGCGCCGGAAACUGGGGUGCUGGAGCGCGGGAGAGGAAAGCGGAAUUCCUGGUGUAGCGGUGAAAUGCGUAGAUAUCAGGAGGAACACCGGCGGUGUAGACGGCUUUCUGGACCGUAGCUGACGCUGAGACACGAAAGCGUGGGUAGCAAACAGG